rnacentral:rRNA from 1 species
AGUAGGAGCUUUAUUUCAACAAAGCAAAAGUACUAUAAUAAUAAUUAUGUGGUUACCCACUGAAGCUAAGCAGGGCUGAGCCUGGUCAGUACAUGGAUGGGAGACCUCCUGGGAAAACUAGGUUGCUGCUGGAA